rnacentral:sRNA from 1 species
GCCGGGCCGCUGGUUCCCCGGCUUCUGUGGCCAGUCUUUGUGGAUUUUUCUCUUGCUCUCUCCCAGCAAGUGCUGGAGCUGGGGCUGUAUCAGUCCUUACUCUGCAUGCAUUUGAAACUAGCAGAUGAAAGCUGCUGCUGGAACCAGUCUAAUUGGAGAGAAUUGCAGUUUAGAGGACAGCGCCCUGUCACCAAACUGCCUUCUACUGGGACUCUCUGGUUCACCAUCUCUUGAUCAUCACACUGAGAACCAAACGUACUUAGGGGAACAAACUCAACCCCUAGCAGCCAGUUUAUCCUCAUCGUCUCCUUCUGACAGGCCAUGAGCAGAGACCUUCUUAACUGGAGCGCCUCCUCCGAAGUCGGAUAACUGAGUAACUGGAUUUACGGAUGCUGAAGUGAGAGCCUUCUCUGCUUCCUGCGAUGGCUGUCUUAGGGGAGAGAGCUGAACCCCUUACCAAAAACAACCAACCAAACAUAAAACGUAGAGAAAGGCUUAGUGAUCCUUCUUAGAGAUGAAGGUGGGAUGGCUGUGCACAGUGGCUCUUUUCCCUGGAGGUGCCAAAAAGCUGUAGCUGUGGAUUCAAUGUGGACUCAGUGUGACAGAAACCGGAGCUCCAUAGAACUGUGAGCCAACGGGCCGGGACAGCAAGGGGGUUGGGCACUCAGCCUGGGGAAAUGCUUGCUACUCAGAAAAAGGUAAAACAGCUUCUAGAAUGUUGAACUAGAAUGUUGCUUUCCUGUAGUGUCUAGCAUGGAAUCCCUUGUUUUAUAUUUUCGUAGAUGAGAAUAUCUGGGUUUUUCUGUCUGAAUUUCCUGUGUAAUCCCCACUCCAUCCAGCUUAUCUCCAUUUGGUUAUUUGCCUGUCUACUGUUGGUUGGUAGACAGUCUUUAUGUAUUGUGGCCUUUCUUUUCCUGAGAGUUGUAUAGAAAGGCUUGUUCUCCCCAGACAGAAAGCCCAAAGAGAUGAUUCCAUCCGAGCCCAUCCUGGCGACCUCGUGAGUUUACUGUGAAGAGUGACUUACGGGGGUAGGAAUGACUCAGGCAGCUGCAUCACAAAAAAAUGCUCCCCACACCAGCUCGUGAAAGCUGCACCAUCAGAGCUUCCUGUGUGACGGGCGGGCAGCUACAUCACUGAAAGCUCUCCUCUGGCUCACAGAGCCUGGGAGUCUUAACUGGUUUCCUAACUUCCUGGAUCUUCCUCGUGAGUUUCCCCGAGCUUUGGGACCCAGCCUCCCUCCACAAAGCAACGUUUCAGCCCCUAAGAAGCAGCUACUUAGCACACGGUCUGAAUGACUCAUGGAUGACAUAGGGGGCCUGCAAGAUGGUUCAGGGUAACGGGGUUUGUCCCCAAGUCUGGCCAGCUGAGUUCCUUCCCUGGAACUAGCAGGAGAGAAACAAGUUCCAAAAGUUCAUCUUCAGAACCAUCCCUCCAAGGCCUCUGCAUCAGCUCCUGCUUCCUGACCUGCUUGAGUUCCAGUCCUGACUUCCUUUGGUGAUGAACAGCAAUGUGGAAGUGCGAGCUGAAUAAACCCUUUC